CUCGGCCUCCCAAAGUGCUGGGAUUACAGGCGUGAGCCACCGCGCCGGUCCGGACAAAUGAACCUUUAAUAGCGGGGGCACCAUUAGGAUGUCCUGAUCCAACAUCGAGGUCAUAAACCUUAUUGUCGAUGUGGACUCUGGAAUAGGAUUGCGCUGUUAUCCCUAGGGUAACUUAGUCCAUUGAUAAGUUAUUGGGUCAAUAAAUGUAGAUUUACUUAGACUAGUAACGUCUUGGUAUAUGUUUUUAGGGGGCUGCGUUAUACUCCAAGGUCACCCCAACCGAAAUUUAUAAUACGUAGAUGGUGGGUUAGUGCCUGUGGGUUUUUAAGAUACUCGUUUGUAUUAUUAAAUUGAAGCUCCAUAGGGUCUUCUCAUCUUAUUUAGGUAUAUCCACCUCUUCACGGAUAGGUCAAUUUCACUGAUUAAAAGUAAGAGACAGUUAAACCCUCGUGUGGCCAUUCAUACAUGUCCCUAUUUGGAGAACAAACCCACAGGCAAAAAUCUGG